ensembl:snRNA Gm22779 U6 spliceosomal RNA
CUGUUCACUUUGGGAGCACAAAGGCCAGAAUUGGAAUGAGACAAAGAUUAGCAUAGCCUCUGUGCAAGCAUGAUACGCAAAUUUAUAAGGCACUCCAUAGUAAA